rnacentral:rRNA from 1 species
UACGAAGGGGGCUAGCGUUGCUCGGAAUUACUGGGCGUAAAGGGCGCGUAGGCGGACAGUUUAGUCAGAGGUGAAAGCCCAGGGCUCAACCUUGGAAUAGCCUUUGAUACUGACUGUCUUGAGUUCGGGAGAGGUGAGUGGAAUGCCGAGUGUAGAGGUGAAAUUCGUAGAUAUUCGGCGGAACACCAGUGGCGAAGGCGGCUCACUGGCCCGAUACUGACGCUGAGGCGCGAAAGCGUGGGGAGCAAACAGG